UGGUGGGAGUGUAGCAGUAAGGAAGACCAGAGGUCACUCUUGUUGGCAUCUUGGUUUUGGUAGGUUUUGUCUGGCUUUUUUACUGCAACCUGUUGUAUCAGCAAGUUCUUUAUGACCUUUAUCUUGUGCUGACCUCCUAUCUCAUCCUGUGACUUAGAAUACUGAAACUACUGGGAAUGCAGCCCUUCAGGUCUCAGCCUUAUUUCACCCAGCCCCUAUUCAAGAUGGAGUUGUUCUGGUUCAAACACCU